CGAGCGGUAUUUCUUCUUCGGAAGAGAGAGAGCGGCGUACGGGUGCGUAACACGUGUGCAACCUACCUUUAUCUGGGGGAUAGCCUUUCGAAAGAGAGAUUAAUACCCCAUAAUAUAUUGAUUGGCAUCAAUUAAUAUUGAAAACUCCGGUGGAUAGAGAUGGGCACGCGCAAGAUUAGAUAGUUGGUGAGGUAACGGCUCACCAAGUCAAUGAUCUUUAGGGGUCCUGAGAGGGAGAUCCCCCACACUGGUACUGAGACACGGACCAGACUCCUACGGGAGGCAGCAGUGAGGAAUAUUGGACAAUGGGUGAAAGCCUGAUCCAGCCAUCCCGCGUGAAGGAUGACGGUCCUAUGGAUUGUAAACUUCUUUUGUAUAGGGAUAAACCUAGAUACGUGUAUCUAGCUGAAGGUACUAUACGAAUAAGCACCGGCUAACUCCGUGCCAGCAGCCGCGGUAAUACGGAGGGUGCAAGCGUUAUCCGGAUUUAUUGGGUUUAAAGGGUCCGUAGGCGGACCGAUAAGUCAGUGGUGAAAUCUCAUAGCUUAACUAUGAAACUGCCAUUGAUACUGUCGGUCUUGAGUAAAUUUGAAGUGGCUGGAAUAAGUAGUGUAGCGGUGAAAUGCAUAGAUAUUACUUAGAACACCAAUUGCGAAGGCAGGUCACUAAGAUUUAACUGACGCUGAGGGACGAAAGCGUGGGUAGCGAACAGGAUUAGAUACCCUGGUAGUCCACGCCGUAAACGAUGCUAACUCGUUUUUGGGGCGCAAGC
rnacentral:rRNA from 1 species